rnacentral:sRNA from 1 species
CUUUCUGGGCUCGGACCUAGGUCGCGGCGACAUGGCCAAACGUACCAAGAAAGUCGGGAUCGUCGGUAAAUACGGGACCCGCUAUGGGGCCUCCCUCCGGAAAAUGGUGAAGAAAAUUGAAAUCAGCCAGCACGCCAAGUACACUUGCUCUUUCUGUGGCAAAGUAAGUAAGGCAAAGUCUCUGGUGAGAGGAGAGGGAGGGCAGGUUUCUUACCCAAGUGAGGCCUGACUUCAAGGUAUUUUAUAAGCCGUGUGCUGGUGGGCAGUUGGAAUUACUCAUACCGUUGAUUACGAGUUUUAAGAUAAAAGUGUUGAUGGUAACUUCAGAUUUUGUGAGACGUUUUUCAUUUAAAGAAAACCGCUUAAAAGUUAAUGGGUAAAAUAAUCAUUUGACAGAGUGCCCCCAGCCUAAGCCAAACCUGCUUUGUGGGAAAUGAUUCCAUCAGUUUUGUCUACUGAUGUUUCUGCACCAACUCCCAAGAUGUCUGUGCAUCUAAUACCAUUCUACUUGUUCUGCGAGGGAUUUUUGUUUGAUAAAGGUUUGAACGUUUAUGUGCAAAAUACUGCAUUACAGCAAUCCUUGUUUUGUUUUUGAGGGAGAAAGGGAGGCUUUCACAUCCCUGACAAUAAGGUGAAUCCAAAUUUAGACUUCUGGAUGCUUGUAAGAGAAAAUACUUACUUGGUUCAUAGUGAAAAUUGGUUCUCUUUUAUAGACCAAGAUGAAGAGACGAGCUGUGGGGAUCUGGCACUGUGGUUCCUGCAUGAAGACAGUGGCUGGCGGUGCCUGGACGUACAAGUGAGUCUAUUUCCUUGUGGUAUUUGGAAGUGUGUGGACCACAUAGGCCCAAAUUCCAGGUUGCUGCUGGAUGGGCUAGUUUUAACACUUUCUCAGGACUGAGAGAAUAAGGAUGCCUUUGUAUUUUCAGGAUUCUUCCUUGGUGGUUUAUUUUCAGUUAUUGAAAGAGUAAACACAAAACUACCAAAAUAGAAGUCGGAAAUCUAAUUCACAGACUACUUUAGAAUUUGAUGGUCACUGGGCACAUUGUUGUGAACAUUGUCAUGAUACUGUGCAGGUCCAUUAGUGGGGCUGAAUCUACUGAACGUUGAUUUGCACUGCAAGUUUUGAUAAAAAUAGGUGAAGGGGUCAGUUAGUUCAAAACUGUAUUUGGAACUUGAGGCCAUCAGGACCACCACAGUUUCGUCUUUCUGAACAGUAUUAGACUGCUGCAGGUUUGUGAAUCUGCAACUCAGUAUCACCUGACAGGGCAAUACUACAAACACUAUACUACAAACUAGCGUCUAGACCUGUGUUGUCCAAUACACUAAGCACAUAUAUGGCUAGUGUAAUUAAAGAAUUGGAUUUUAAAGUUUCAGUCAAUUUAAAGUUAAACCGAAGCAGUGGAAAAUGUUGAAAUAUAUAUAUAUUCCUUGUGGGGGUUUUUAUUAGGGCAGAAUGGAAAAUGGGAACUAGAGUGCUUUCUUGGUUCUGAUAGGAAAGUGAAUUAUUUAUAUACUUACAAUACAGGAUGGUGAUUUUCAGGUAUAGUUCCUGAAUUCUGUGGUAAAACUUUUGUAGUCAUUUCAAUAGCUGUCUUUCCCAAAGGCACUUUAGUGUCCGCUCUAUUUCCUUAAUCAUCGUUCUCACUGUAUCAUCUUGUAAUUUAUUCAUUUCUUGUAAUCUGUCCAUUCCCUUUUAAUAAGUUUAGGUCAGCCUCUUAGAACCAUUUCUUUUUCAUGGGAUGGGGUAGGGGGAGUUAAAGCUUGCUUGUCCACAACUGAGUUACUUUAAAAAAAAAAAAGCAACUCUGGUUGAGAAAUCAGAUGCAUGAGAUUGUAUGUCUAAUUCUGCAAGAUCCUGAAGGCAUGGCUCUUAAAGGAUGCCAUCAUGUAGUUUAGAAGCCACUAAUUUCCGAGGAGUAAUCUAAUGUUGGUUAGAUCUUUGGAUUGACUGCAGCAAAGUAUUGGUAGAGCAGUCUAUCUCAGUAUAAUUCUUUCUAGGAAAAUUUGGGAAGCGACUUUAACACAAAAACGAGGCAGAUUUACUUAUUUGCCAUUUUCUAUGUUAACAUGCUUAAUUAUGUUGGAAACUGAAUCUUUCUUUCCAGUACCACUUCCGCUGUCACGGUAAAGUCCGCCAUCAGAAGACUGAAGGAGUUGAAAGACCAGUAGACGCUCCUCUACUCUUUGAGACAUCACUGGCCUAUAAUAAAUGGGUUAAUUUAUGU